rnacentral:lncRNA from 1 species
GUCACAGUAGGAAUUGGAGUCGGGGGGAGGGGACGGGGUUGGGGGGAAUUACCAUUAGCAGUUGAAGUGGUAGGAAAUUUUUACAUAGGAGAGUAUGGUGAUCAUAUUUGCAUUUUAGAAAAUAAUGGAUAGCAGUUUGUUAGGGGAACAAAGGACAGAGACAGGGAGACUAUUUAAAACAUUAAUAAAAAAUACCAGUGACAGAUGAUGAGGCACCUACCUGAUGGGAAUGGAGAAGAGGAGAUGGAUUCAGAAACUACUUAGGAGAGGCAGGCAGUCCAAGGCUGAUGCCCAAAGAAGCCAUCAAGACCCGUGCUACUUCCAGCUCCUUCUGUCCUCAUAAUCAUAGAUGAUUGCUCCACAUCCAGCACCUAACACCAGUACUCAGUUAAAUUUUUUGCUGAAUAAAUCAAUGAAUGGAGAGGUAAAGAGGAACCAGAAGUUGGGGUUACAGAAGUCACUGAUGGAAGAGUUUCAAGAUAGUAGAAGUGGUCAGCCCUGUUAAGUGACAAGCCAAGGACUGAAGAAAGACUGGCAGAUUUGGCAAUCAGAUGAAGUGACCUGACCAAAGAGCAGCUUGUGUGAAGUAGUGAGGACAGGCGCUGGUCUGCGACUGGUUUAGGAGGAAAUGGAAAUGAAGAAGAAGAGAUAGGAAAGUGGAGAUUAUAUGAUGACAAGUAUCAAGAUAAAAAUGAACACAUUUGGCCUGCUACCUGAAUUUUUUAAAUCGGCUCACCAAAAAAUAUCAGGCUUAUUGAAAUAUUGGAAUAUCUGAUGAAGUUUCCUCUUAUCUUUGAGCUGUUUGGGUUUGGGUAAAAUUUCAAUGCUUAAAAUUCACGUCUACAACUAGCAGGCAGAACCUUAAAGUCCAGAACCAUUAAAGGGUUUAAUAAUGGUGAGGCAUAUGAUGAUGCUGAUGAUGAUAAUGUUUCUUUCUUUCUUUUGUGAUCUUAAUCACUGUGUGAUCUUAACUAGUUUGAAAUGAGAAUUUCAAUGGAGACAGUAGUGUAAAUUUACCAACAGAACAAUUACAGUCGUGACAAAACAAAAACUA